CGAAUCGAUCAGUACAGUUCAGACUACCAGACCAGGUGCAUGUUAGUGGUGUAUGCACGGCCACGUAAACAUUUUAUAUCACUACAUAUAAGCUAAAAUCCGAGAAUAUGAUCAUAGAGGAUUCCGGGAUCGGCUGAUAUUCGCCAUUGUGGGGAAAUGCUCAUUGCUCACGUUUCGUCACCGUUCACAACUCAUUAUAUAUACACAGGAUUGUUUACUGAUUUAAGUCCGGUAGAAAUCGACAAUUUCGUACAAUAAAAUAAUAGAAGUAAAAAUUCUGCAUGAGUAACGAUUUGGUGAGCUACGACCUGGCAAAAUGAACCUGUUGUCCUUAAAUGUUCUGGACUUUUGUACUUCCAAGACCACGAAAUGGAAGGUUUUAAUGUUUGUGGUUUUUUUUAUUUCCCUAAAGAUUGGUGAAACUCAUUAAUGUGAAACAUACCAUUCUGAGUCAAAACAGAAUGCUACAGGAAGGUAUUCAUUAUAACCAAUUUGGGUGCCAUCAUUUUGUAGGAUAUUUGUUUUUUGGUACCAUAAAGUAUAUUUUAUUAUUAAACUUAACUGGUAAUUCUUAAUAACAUUCAAUUUGUUGUGCAUAUUGCACAUUAUAUAGUUUAAAUUUUAUUAAAUAAACUAUUUCCUCUGAUAAUGAUAUGUUUCUUGGGCCUUAUGUCCCAUAGGUCAUAGCACAUGUAAAUUCAUCUAGACUACAGGUAUGUGGCUAAUGAUAAAUUUGAAUAAUAAAUGUGUUCUUUCUAUCUCACAUUGUCUCCUUAUUAAUUCAUUGUAUAAUGAAUUUAUUGUAUUUUUUAAUAAGAUUUCUAUGUAGAAAAAUUUUGAAUUUAGGUAGGUACAUGUACAAUAAGAUCUGUGUUUUGAGGUGAAAUAUUGUUAGUGGAGAAAUGAUGCAUAAAUGUAUUGUCUUUUAAUAUGAAUAAUUGUGGGUGUUCUGUUUGUAUGACUGAUAUUUUACAUGCAGAUGUCCUCUGUAUUUGUUCUAUGGCGAAGACUAUGUUUUCAAUUUCAAUUAAAUUGUAAUUUAUAAGCGUGUCUACAUCUCCAAGGCUAGGGAUUCAAAUUGUAAAAUUUUAGUUUUUACUACCUACUAUAUGUUUUUUAUAUUUGUUUAUUUUUAAAUAGGUAUGGAUAUUAUUAUUAUUUAUUUUAAUUAUUAUCAUUCGGUGCGUUACAUAACGCAUAGAGAUUACAAUUUCCGUCUGCAAGGACAUUCUCGCCAGGUUUAUAAUUUUUAAUAUUUUUGUGUAUAUUAUGAUCGUAAUAAAUUGAUUCUAGUUUCUUAACGUUAUCAGUAUCAUGAUUGAUGUUUUUGUUAAUGUGAGGGUUAGAACAUAGUUUUGUUUUAUUAAUAAAAUUAUCGUUAAUGAUGUUAAUAUUUUAAAUUAUUUUUUUUAAUGGUAAUGGUCGUGUAUAAAUUUAUACACUUUUUAUUUCUUUCUGUUUCCAAUUAUUUGUGAUAUCUCUUGUGGUUUUGUCAAAAAUAUAAUAAUGUUAUUUCUUUAAUGUACAAAUUAAUCAAAAAUAAAAACAUACUUUUUAAAAGUUUUUAAUAAUUUGAAAUUUUUGGAAAAUCGAAUUUGUUUUUCUCUCUUAAGCUCCGAGAUAUCGAGGGUCGAGUGUGUAUUUUUAAGUUUUAGAAUCCAUCAGAAAUUAAUUGUUUUAUUUUGGAACAUUUUCGUUUGUCUAGUAAAGUUGCUAUGGUGAGAAUCGCAAUUUUAUAAUCAUAAAAUUUAUUCUUAGUUUUUUUUUUACAAAGUGCCAAUAAAUUCAUAUAUUAUAUAGGUUUUAGAAAAUAUAUUUUUUUUUAUUAGGUAUUUCGAAAACUCUCCGGACCGGUCUCACCAUUGGUUUUAACUUGUUUAGUUGAGCCAAGGCGUCUCCACAUUUAAUUUUUAUUUGUGCUGCCAAACUUUUGAUCAUUUUUAAGUCUGCGGAAAUGAAGCGAACAGUUCUAUUUCCUCAAUUUUCUUGAAGAAUAUUUUUUACGUCUUCUUUAAUAUUACCCAUGUACAUUGUGGCUGUUAUAAACGCUAUGAGUUUAUAUUAUUAUAAUAUCAUUAUUAGGUUUGUUAGUAUUAUUAUCUUUAUGUAAUGUUAUAACGUAUUAGUUUUGAAUUCUUUGAUGGCAUUAUGUUGUUAUAAAAAUUUAUCCACAAAUAUUGAAUGACAAGAUAACAUUUUAUGAAAAAUGGUUUAACUUAAAAUUCAUGGGAGUUGUUUUUUCUUUUAGUUAAAAUUGAUCCGAACGCAGUUAGGUAUGUAGUUUUUAAUCAUGUUAAUAUUAUAGGUUCUUAUUUUAAUUCACUAUCACGGGGCAUUAACGUAUGUCUAAUGCAACAUAUAUUUGCUCCUAUGUCUAUUGUUACUAGAAAUGUAAUGUUGUUUAAUGUCGCUUUAGUAUAUAGUGGUUCGGUUAUAAUGUUUAUUUUAUAAUUAUAUUUUAGGAAGUCAGAAGAUAAAGGUGAACAUAUAACAGUAGAGUUUGAUCUAAAAAUUAGUUUCGUUAGUUUCGGAACCUCGUCUUUUUGCUGAGUGCCCUACUUUAUCGUACAUUUGGCAUUAUGUUAUUGUAAGUUUGUUGGGGAAAUUACAGUUUUCUGAUUUAUAAAGCAUUUUUUAAGGCAUAUUGUAUGUAGUUGCGGUUGAAUACUAUUUUUGGUUGGAAAUCACGCUUCUGGGAUGAGAUUGCUGUAUUAUAGGUAUAAAAAAUUAUGCAUAGAAAAUACGCCAGUAAUAAUAAUUUUUUUUUCAUUUUGGGAACAAUAAUUUUAAUAAUGUUUGGAUUUUCUCACAGUUUGUCAAAAUUUGAACUUUUAAUAAUGAAAAAAAAAAUUGUAACUAUAAUUUAAAUGUCUAGUUAUUUUUUUUGAAAGUAAGUAUACCUACAACAAAAUAAGAAAAUCGUUUUGGUUGAAAAAUUUUUUUAUAUCAAACAUUGAAAUCUGUUGAUUUUCAUUUAAUAUUUAAUUUAUAUAUAAUUACAAUCACACAGUUCUUAGUAAAAUAACAUAAUAUAGUGUAAUCAUGCAUACAUUAUGUAUUAACAAUUGCAUAAUUACUUAUAGCUUAUAAAUUAUCAAUUUAAAAUGUAUACCAGUAAACUGAUUAAUAACAACACUUGCUGUCUGUUUUAUUUUCACAGAUAUAUACAAGUUUAUUUACAGAUUUAAGUCCGAUAGCAAUUUACGAUUUUGUACAAUAAAAUCAUAGAAGUUGCGCAAUAACUCUGCAUGAGUGACGAUAUGCGAAAUUAAAAUUCAUCGACGACCUGGAAAAAUGGAGGACAGAUGUUCUAUAGGUCUGUAACCAUCAGUUCGUAAACGUCAACGGGCGGUGGUAAACUCUCCCGAUUUUAUGGUAAACUAUCCCGAUUUUUAAAAAUAGUAAACUCUCCCGGGUCAAAAUUAUGUUUACCUGAAGUAAAUGUGUAAACUCUCCCGAGUCAACUUUAUAGUUACCUGUAGGAAGUAUGCAAGCUCUCCCGAGUUGUUUUAAAUGUUAUUGCUACACUACGAGUUUGAAAUUUUUACGUAUAUUUUGUAUUUGUAACUUAUAUUAUUAUUAUUGAAUAUUUUUAAAAGAAACUUAAAUGUAUAUUGGAUUUUUUGAAAUUUAAUUUUUUAUUGUAUUUUGACUAUAAUAUCAUGUUCAUAGCAGCUAAAGACAUUAAUUUAUAUUGUAAUUAUUAUUAUAUAUGAUUGACUAUUAUUAAACGCAACUUAAAUGUAUAUUAAAUUUAUUUUAUGAUUUUACUAGACCCGGGAGAGUUUACAUAUUUUCGUUAGGUACCUAGUACAGGAAUAAAUCCGGGAGAAUUUACACGUUUCUGUCAGGUAGUACUGGAGUAGACCCGGGAGAGUGUACCAUCGGGAGAGUUUACAAUCGCCCAACGUCAACAUCUACCUUACAAAUCAGAGAGUAGCACAAUUCUAUAAAUGAAAAGAAGGUAAAUACAUAUAUAUUGCGCGGCUGUUUUACUACAAGUAGCGCCCAACUCGUGGCGCAAAACAAGAAAUAAAGAAUAUGAAUAAAUAAAUAUAUAAAAAAAAUAUUGACAAUAAUGAUAAUAAAGGAAAAUCAAUAAUUAUAAAAAAAUCCAAUAAUCUUAUAAAAUAAUAAAUGAAUAACGAACAUAAAAACUCAGAAAAAUUUGAAGGUAAUUGAAACCCACCAACUCUCUCUUCACAAGAUAUCAAUAAAUUACUUAAACCUUAAUUAAUAACUGAACUCACCAAACAAAACCUAAUCGCAACAGGCACAGUUCCUGCAUUAAAAAAUAGACUAACACAAUACCUUAACGCAGACAAGCACCAAACGAUUUUACCAAUAAUUUUAAAGCGAACAAAGUGAACAACACAAAAAACCAUAAAGAUACAUAUAGGCAUAGGAAUAAAAAUACUCUUAAGCAACUAAAAGACGAUAUAAGAAACAACUUAAACUCAAAAAGACAUAAACAAUGCAAUUAUACAUGACCAAAUAAAUAAAAAAAACUGAAAAAUUCAACGACUAAUUAAAAGUUUUUAAUGAAAGUAAUGAGAAAUUAAAUAAAAAAAUUGAAACUUUUUUAGAAAAUCAAAAAUCAAAAACGAACAAAAACAAAUUUUUAAAACCUUCAAAUUUAAUGAGACGAAACAAUUAUUCUAAUCAAAAUUAUAUUAAUAAUGUGAAAUUUAGUACUCGCCAUUUUCCUCGAAUUGAAUUCCCGAAUGAAUUUUUACCGAAAGUCCGAAAAAUUAUAUAUCAGUUUUCCCGAAAUGAAAAAAUUUUAAAAACUUAAAAAUUUUGUUAUAAUUGACGUAUUUUUUAUGUAUUAUAUUUUAUACCCAUAACUCAGCAAUCACGACACAGAUACAUGUUUUUGAAACAAAAAUAGUAUUGAACCACCACACAUACAAUAUGCCUCAAAAAUAAUCAUAAAAUAGAAAACUAUUAUUUCCUUAACAAACCUACCUUAACAUAAUGCCAAAUUUACGAUAAAGUAAGGCACUCGGCAAAAAGACGAAGUUCCGAAACUAUCGAAACUAAUUUCUAGGUCAAACUCUACUAUUAGAUGUUCACCUUUAUCUUCUAACUUCCUAAAAUAUAAUUAUAAAAUGAACAUAAUAACCGAACCACUAUAUAUUAAAGUGACAUUAAACAGCAUUACAUUUCCAGAAACAAUAGACAUAGGAGCAAAUAUAUGUUGCAUUAGACAUAUGUUAAUGCCCCGUGAUAGUGAAUUAAAAUAAGAACCUAUCAUAUUAACAGGAUUAAAAACUACAUAUCUAAAUGUGUUUAGAUUAAUUUUAAUUGAAAUAAAAUAAAACUCCCGCGAAUUUUAAAUUAAACCGUUUUCCAUAAAAUGCUUAUCAGGUCAUAAAGUAAUUGUAAAUACAUUUUUAUAACAACAUAAUUCCAUCAAAGAAUUCAUAACUAAUACACUAACAUUGCAUAAAGAUAAUAAUAGUAACAAACCUAAUAAUAAUAUUAUAAUAAUACAAACUCAUAGCGUUUAUAAUAGCAACAAUGUACAUAGGUAAUCUUAGAGAAGACGUAAAAAAUAUUCUUCAAGCAAAUUGAGGAAAUCGAACUGCUCACUACAUUUCUGCAGACUUAAAAAUGAGCUAAAUUUUGGCAGCACAAAUUAGAAUCAAUUUGGAGACGCCUUUGUUCAAUUAAACAAGUUUAAACCAAUGUUAGGUGAGACCGAUCGGGAAGAUUUUGUGAAUAGAACAAUUUUUUACUUAAUAAGAAAGAUUAAAUAUUUUCUAAAACCUUAAAUUAUGUGAACAUAUUGGGCGCCUCGCAAAAUAAAUUUCAUGAUUAUAAAAUUGCGAUUCUCCCCAUAGCAACUAGACUAGACAAAUAAAAAGGGUCCAGAAUAAAACAAUUAAUUUAUGAUGGAUUCCAAAACUUUAAAAUACAAUCGACUCUUGAUAACUCGGAGUUCAAAAGAGAAAAAAAAAUUCGAUUUUCCAAAAAUUUGAAAUUAUCAAAAACUUUUAAAAAGUAUGUUUUUAUUUUUGAAUAAUUUGUACAUUAAAGAAAUAAAAAAAAAAAUGUUUUUUUACAUUUUCAUUUUCCUGUCAAGACAUUGUUGAAUCCAUUUUAAUAAACAGAAUUCUCUAUCAAAGUAUUCUCCUAGUUUCAUUUUUUUCCAAGUUGCCGGUUUAAAUUAAGUUAAAAAUUUAAUUUAUUAAUUUUAAAUUAUAAAUUUUUAAAAUAACAUCUUUUUUUUAUUAUUAUUGUAGACAAUGUACCUACUCGCUGGAAUUACAAAAUCUUGCUAAUUCAGGUUUUUUCUUUUCGCCUUUUUCAAUUCAUUUAUGAUGAAUUCUAAAACUUUAAUUUAGAAUUACUUAUUUUUACAAAAUCACAAGAAAUAUCACUAAUAAUUGGGAAACAGGAGAAAAUGAAAAGUUUAUUAAUUUAAAACACGACUAUUAUAAUAAAAUAAUUAAAAAUAUUAAUAACUUUAACGAUAAUUGUAUUAAUAAAAUAAAAUUAUGCUCUAACAACUCACACAUUAACAAAAAGAAUCAAUUUAUUAUGAUAACAAUACACACAAAAAUAUCAAAAAUUAUAAGGCGAGAAUGUCCUUGCAGACGGAAAUUGUAGUUAAUGUGCGUUAUGUAACGCACUGAAUGAUAAUAAUUAAAUAUAAUAACAAUACCUAUUCAAAAAUAAACAAAGAUUAAAAAUAUAUAGUAGAUAAGAAAAAACAAUAGGUAGUUAAUAAAAAACAAAUAAUAAAUCACAACAAAUACCAAGUUUACAUAAAAAAAUACAUAUAUAAUACUCACAUAAAUAUUUUUAAAAAUGUAAAUCAUACUAUGUUUAAUUAUAUUAUGGUGACUAACACGGAAUUAAUAAUAUUGCUAUAUUAAGAUAAUCUAAUUAUAUUAUUAAAUAUUAUUAUGGUUGAUUUUGGAGCCUUGGCAAGUGUAUUAUCUGUAAUAUUUUACAAUUUAAUAUAACCUAUUUCUAAUAUGUUUAUUUUAAAUUAUUGUGUACAUUAAAAUAUUUUAUAAGUGGAAUAGUAUUACAUUGUAUACAAGUUAAUAUUUAUAUUCUUAAAAUUAUUUACACGUUUGUCAUAAUAUGUAUUAUACUACCAUUGGUGUCAGUUUAUGGAUUUAUAGCAUAUGACUGCAACGAAAGAAAAAUAAAUCUAACAUCUUUCAACAGUCUAGAAGUUGACCACUGCAAAACCCACCACCAGCAACCAGCAUGAAAAUUCCAAGAAUUAAACUGGUACAAAAAGCUGACACCCGCACAAUAUCUUUUAAAUCUUGCAUAAUUUUUGUAGACUAUCUAAUCACUAAAUGUGCAACCUUUGAUGACGCACGAGUAGUUGAAGACAGAUUUUUUUUUAGAAGUACUAUUCUUGGGAAACUUAGGUUGCGCAGAACUCCAAAGAACCGCAAUAUUUCACUUUCCUUCAGAUGGCAUUAUAACAGGAUUAAUGAUCAAUCAUAUCACAUUUGCUACUCACACAGCAACUGGCAACAUUGACAAAAAUAGAGACUGUCAAGAAACAUCAAAUGCAUCUCAUAAAGGAUCGUGAAAAAAUGUUGUAGUACCACAGUCCACAAGGUAAUCAAAAAAUACAGCUAAGCGGAGGUAUCGCAAACAUUAUUAGUAAAGUGACUUAUUAAUUUUACCAACUGGAACCAGAAUGAAACUACCAGAAAUGUAUUGGAUAGAUUCAUAUAGAGGUAAAACAGUCUGGAAUAACAAUAUCAUAUUUCAAAAUUGUGACAUGCAUGAUUGAUGUAUUAUAAUAUAUAAUACAUAUAUGUAUUAUGAUGAUGUAUUACAUGAUGGGUCUACAUUACUAAUGAUUUCAGAACAGACACCAGAAAAUUUGUUAAAAACACAUAUAUUUUAGUUUAAACUGAAAACAUAGUUUUCAUCUUAAAAUAAAUAAAAAGAAUAUUUGCGUGUGAAAUACCAGUCAUACAAUCAAAACACCCACAAUUGUUCAUAUUAAAAGACAAUAAAUUUAUGCCUCAUUUCUCCAUCAACAAUAUUUCACCUCAAAACACAGAUCUCAUGGUAUAAGUAAACACAAAAGUUGUCUACAUAGAAAUCUUAUUAAAAACACAAUAACUUCAUUAUACAAUGAAUUAAUAGAGAUGCUAUGCGAGAUAGAAAGAACACAAUUAUUAUUCAAAUUAUCAUUAGCCACAUAUAGUCUAGAUGAUUUAGCAUUCCGUUUUGACUCAGAAUGGAAUUGAGUGGCACGGUACGCAAAGGUCGCCAGUACAAAGUACAGACACCGCAGCAACCGGUCGGCAUCUUAUCAACCGCCACCACGGCCUACGACGAUACAACUUAGUUGACUCUCCCGCCAACGACCCGAAGGCUAGGUGGGACGUGAUGACAAGUCGGUGCGGAUGAGUACCGGCCGCCGGUGACCGAUUGCUCUGCGACACGCAACGUCAACGCGACAACACGAUACUAUGAUCACCCGUGUUUUAAGAACGUAAGAACGACGACCAACAACCAUACCAUGUUGGAUACGCCAGGCCUCGUCCAACUACCGAGAUCGACCGAUCAUCUCCGUCACCAGUACAUCAUCGGCGUCGGUUACAGCUCAACAGACGCCGACCUGCGAGGACGAUCUACAAUCAACCUCGCGUAAUCAAAGUACGUGUCAAGAGUUUCACCAACCUUUAGGGAAAUAAAAAACCACAAACAUUAAAGGCUUCCACUUCAUGGACUUGAAACUACAAAAGUCCAGAACAUUUAAUGACAGCAGGAAUUUACUCCUGAGACACUAUGGCAGCACUACUAAAACACCUACUACUACCACAAGAAGUCUAGACAACACAAAAAAUAUAAUCAGACAAUCCAUGGGGUAUUCAUAAGUAGACCAAGGAUUACGUUUAAAAAGAAGAAAAAUAUCAGUCUAAAAAUACAUCCAUAAACCACCAAUGCUGGUAACAAAUUAUUAAAUUAACACUGAUCAUUAUAUUUUGUACACAAUUUAGACACUUAGUAUGUAGUAAUUUAAUAGAUAAUCUAAUAACUAGCAAUUAAGUAAAUUAUUUCUUAUUAUAUCAUUUUAUAUUUCAUAUACUUAAUCAAUUUAAAUAUUAUGCAUUACAAUUAUUAAAUUUAUAAUUAAUAAGCAAUACCUAACUUAUAACUAACUAUAACACUAAAAACAUUAUUAUCAUGUAUUAUCUACCCCGUGAAAAAGAAUUAUAAAUUAUUUUAAAUGUAGGUUUAAAUAUAUUUAUAUACAAAAAUGUUCACUCAUAAAAUUUAAAUUUUCAUUGCAAAUAUAUACUACCCAGGACAGUACCAAUUGUUAGUUAUCACCAUAGUUAUUUAAUUUUGAGUUUGUGAUACAACCUAUUUUUAAGAUUAUGAUUUCUUAUUUAUUAAUUACCUAAUAGCUUUCAACUGUUAUAAUUCAUAUAUUCUGUUUUAUAAUUUUUAAUUUUGUUUUAAAAAUGUAACCUUCAGAAGAAAUAAAACUAAAAUUCUUUAA